rnacentral:rRNA from 1 species
GAUGAACGCUGGCGGCGUGCCUAAUACAUGCAAGUCGAGCGAACAGACGAGGAGCUUGCUCCUCUGACGUUAGCGGCGGACGGGUGAGUAACACGUGGAUAACCUACCUAUAAGACUGGGAUAACUUCGGGAAACCGGAGCUAAUACCGGAUAACAUGGUGAACCGCAUGGUUCAACAGUGAAAGACGGUUUUGCUGUCACUUAUAGAUGUAUCCGCGUCGCAUUAGCUAGUGGGUAAGGUAACGGCUUACCAAGGCAACGAUGCGUAGCCGACCUGAGGGGGGGAUCGGCCACACUGGAACUGAGACACGCCCCCGACUCCUACGGGAGGCAGCAGUCGGGAAUCUUCCGCAAUGGGCGAAAGCCUGACGGAGCACCGCCGCGUGAGUGAAGAAGGUUUUCGGAUCGUAAAACUCUGUUAUUAGGGAAGAACACAUGUGUAAGUAACUAGGCACUUCUUGACGGUACCGAAUCAGAAAGCCACGGCUAACUACGUG